AUAUUUCCUGACUUGUUGGAUAGUGACUCGUUAUCUUUUGGGUUUCUUUAGCAAACGGCCACAAGACCAGUCAAAACCCUUAGCUCAUGCAGCAAUCCCGUGUAUGCAGCGAUAUAAAUAGACCGAUAUCACCAAAGAGUGAGACUUACCACUUUGUGUAAGCAAUCGGUGGAUUUCUAAAAAUGAAAAAAAAAAAUUUAGUUAAAAAAAAAUCAAAUCAAAUAAAGAAUGAGAUGACAUGGAGUGAAGGCGGAUUUGGAAACAAUAGCUGCCGCAAUCGGAGAAAAAGUUAUUUGGGUAUACCAGAUUAUCCUUUGGUUAAUUAACACCGAACAAUGUAUACUUCUGAGAGUGAACUUGAAGCUGGGGGACUGAGAUAGGGGAGUGGUGUACCCAUGUACACUAUCAGUAGAAACCUUUGGCAGAUAACAGGGCUUUGAUUUUUUCAGUAACUCAUGAAGGAAAUCAUUGUUUCUAUUUCAUUUUGUUUCUAUCAAAGGAGGAAUCGUUCUUUUGUUUACUUUUCUGAAACCCUUACCACAUGAAGCUAGAAGAGCUUGAAUGAACUAACAGAGGCCGAGACCCUUCAUAUUCAACCCCAAUCAGGCACAUCCCGCAAAAGUUUAUAUUGAACCCUCCCUGGGGAAAUCUUCAAGACUUAAACUAAAUAUGUUACUUACCUCCAUAGGAGGUACUGGAACCUGCAAAGGGACAAAAAAGUUUUAACCUUUUUUUAUAGGAAAAGCAAUCUACCCUAGACAUCAUACACAGCUAGCCUGUAAUGAUUCUUGUACUAUCUUGUAAGGUCCUCAAUGGCCUGCCCAACUGACAGCUUCUUUUCUUUAACCCUUUAAUUCCCAUGAGUGACCAAGACAGAAUUUCUCCUUACAAUAUCAAUACAGUAUCAAUCAGAUAAGUGAUGAGAAUAAAGAAAGAUAUCAAUUUGGGGAUAAUAAGUUGAUUCAAUACUGAAUUCUCUGAACUAACAUCAUGAGAAUUGUAUGGUUGAUGGUAAGGAGAAGUACAAAUUUGAUCUGGGAGUUAAAGAGU